rnacentral:lncRNA from 1 species
AUUGGUUCAAGGAUGCCGUCCAUGAGCUCCUCAAGUAAGUCAAAGACCUGAGAGAGGCUUUCAGAGCACUAAGAACGUCUCCUUUUCUCACAUGUCUCAGUUCUACCUCCCAUUGGUUUGGAUGAUUGUUUGAUAAUGUCCCUGCCUUCCCUCUCCCCACUUCCUCCAACUCAAGUGUAAACUCCAUGAGGACAGUGUGUUUUGCUCUCUGCUAUCCCUUCAGGACAUGACAUAGGCUCUGACUCACAAUAUUUGCAUUUUCUAAACAGUCCUUACCGAUGCAGUUACAGAAAAGCUAACAAGGAGAGAACAGAACGAAAACUGUGGUUGUCGUUGCAGGUCAGAGUUGUGGUUGUCAUUCUCCGUGUGACCUGCUAUCGUUGGCACCUGGUGCAUGGACCAGAGAAUGAGCAGGCUCUGCAGAGAAGAGAGCCUAGAUCCUGGGACCAGAAGACCUUGGCAUAACAGCCCAUUCUCAGGGCUGAUGUCUGCCAUAGCUGGACUGGUGUGGCCACAAGCCAAGGAAUGUUUGAAACUAUCAGAAGCUGGAAGAGGCAGCGAAGGAUUCUCCCUCAGAGGCUUCAGGAGGAGCAUGGCCUGUGGACACCUUGAUUCUGGAUUUCUGGCCUCCAGAACUGAGAGAGUAAAUUUCUGUCAUUUUAAGCCACCAUGUUUCUAUAUUUGGGGAUAUAGAAAAAUAUUGCUCUUCUAUGUCGAGAAUAUAGAGAAUUUUUCUUCUAUAAAGAAAAAUUUGGCUCUUCUAUAAAGUUGAUACAUUGGUUUUCUCUUCUGGCUUGAAAACUUGGUUUUAAGAUAAUUCCCAUUAGAAAAAAAUUUCAGAACUAAUUUUAGUGAUAGUGUUAU